CGGGCUGUAGCGCAGCUUGGUAGCGCGCUUCGUUCGGGACGAAGAGGCCGCGG
rnacentral:tRNA from 1 species